rnacentral:tRNA from 2 species
GGAGAGGUGGCAGAGUGGUCGAUUGCAGCGGUCUUGAAAACCGCCAGGCCGAAAGGUCUCGUGGGUUCGAAUCCCACCCUCUCCGCCA